rnacentral:rRNA from 1 species
GAAUGGGCUCACGGCCUAUCAGCUUGUUGGGGGGGUAAUGGCUCACCAAGGCGACUACGGUUGGCCGGCCUGAGGAGGGGGGCCGGCCCACACUGGGACUGAGGAACGGCCCAUAUAAUACGGGAGGCAGCAGUGGGGAAUAUUGCACAAUGGGCGAAAGCCUGAUGCAGCGACGCCGCGUGAGGGAUGACGGCCUUCGGGUUGUAAACCUCUUUCAGCACGGAAGAAGCGAAAGUGACGGUACGUGCAGAAGAAGCCCCGGCUAACUACGUGCCAGCAGCCGCGGUAAUACGUAGGGCGCAAGCGUUGUCCGGAAUUAUUGGGCGUAAAGAGCUCGUAGGCGGUUUGUCGCGUCUGCUGUGAAAGCCCCGGGGCUUAACCCCGGGUGUGCAGUGGGUACGGGCAGACUUGAGUGCAGUAGGGGAGACUGGAAUUCCUGGUGUAGCGGUGAAAUGCGCAGAUAUCAGGAGGAACACCGAUGGCGAAGGCAGGUCUCUGGGCUGUUACUGACGCUGAGGAGCGAAAGCAUGGUGAGCGAACAGGAUUAGAUACCCUGGUAGUCCAUGCCGUAAACGUUGGGCACUAGGUGUGGGGAACAUUCCACGUUUUCCGCGCCGUAGCUAACGCAUUAAGUGCCCCGCCUGGGGAGUACGGCCGCAAGGCUAAAACUCAAAGGAAUUGACGCGGGCCCGCACAAGCGGCGGAGCAUGCGGAUUAAUUCGAUGCAACGCGAAGAACCUUACCAAGGCUUGACAUACACCGGACCGGGCCAGAGAUGGUCUUUCCCCCUUGUGGGGCUGGUGUACAGGUGGUGCAUGGUUGUCGUCAGCUCGUGUCGUGAGAUGUUGGGUUAAGUCCCGCAACGAGCGCAACCCUCGUUCUAUGUUGCCAGCACGUGAUGGUGGGGACUCAUAGGAGACUGCCGGGGUCAACUCGGAGGAAGGUGAGGAUGACGUCAAAUCAUCAUGCCCCUUAUGUCUUGGGCUUCACGCAUGCUACAAUGGCCAGUACAAUGGGUUGCGAUGCCGCGAGGUGGAGCUAAUCCCAAAAAGCUGGUCUCAGUUCGGAUCGUGGUCUGCAACUCGACCACGUGAAGUCGGAGUCGCUAGUAAUCGCAGAUCAGCAACGCUGCGGUGAAUACGUUCCCGGGCCUUGUACACACCGCCCGUCAAGUCACGAAAGUUGGUAACACCCGAAGCCGGUGGCCUAACCCUUGUGGGGGAGCC